AUUGAACGCUGGCGGCAGGCCUAACACGUGCAAGUCCAACGGUAGCACAGAGAGCUUGCUCUCGGGUGACGAGUGGCGGACGGGUGAGUAAUGUCUGGGAAACUGCCCGAUGGAGGGGGAUAACUACUGGAAACGGUAGCUAAUACCGCAUAACGUCACAAGACCAAAGUGGGGGACCUCCGGGCCUCACACCAUCGGAUGUGCCCAGAUGGGAUUAGCUAGUAGGUGGGGUAAUGGCUCACCUAGGCGACGAUCCCUAGCUGGUCUGAGAGGAUGACCAGCCACACUGGAACUGAGACACGGUCCAGACUCCUACGGGAGGCAGCAGUGGGGAAUAUUGCACAAUGGGCGCAAGCCUGAUGCAGCCAUGCCGCGUGUAUGAAGAAGGCCUUCGGGUUGUAAAGUACUUUCAGCGGGGAGGAAGGCGGUGAAGUUAAUAGCUUCACCGAUUGACGUUACCCGCAGAAGAAGCACCGGCUAACUCCGUGCCAGCCGCCGCAGUAA
rnacentral:rRNA from 1 species